CCUACGGGAGGCAGCAGUGGGGAAUAUUGCACAAUGGGGGCAACCCUGAUGCAGCGACGCAGCGUGAGUGAAGAAGUAUUUCUGUAUGUAAAGCUCUAUCAGUAGGGAAGAAAAUGACGGUAUCUAAUUUAGAAGCCCCGGCUAACUACGUGCCAGCAGCCGCGGUACUACGUAGGGGGCAAGCGUUAUCCGGAUUUACUGGGCGUAAUGGGAGCGUAGACGGCAGCACAAGUCUGGAGUGAAAUGCCGGGGCUUAACCCCGGAACUGCUUUGGAGACUGUGCAGCUAGAGUGCAGGAGAGGUAAGUGGAAUUCCUAGUGUAGCGGUGAAAUGCGUAGAUAUUAGGAGGAACACCAGUGGCGAAGGCGGCUUACUGGACUGUAACUGACGUUGAGGCUCGAAAGCGUGGGGAGCAAACAGGAUUAGAUACCCUUGUAGUC
rnacentral:rRNA from 1 species